rnacentral:rRNA from 1 species
CAGCCGCCGCGGGAAUACGAAGGGUGCAAGCGUUAAUCGGAAUUACUGGGCGUAAAGCGUGCGUAGGCGGUGAGUUAAGUCUGCUGUGAAAUCCCCGGGCUCAACCUGGGAAUGGCAAUGGAUACUGGCAAGCUAGAGUGUGUCAGAGGAUGGUGGAAUUCUCGGUGUAGCGGUGAAAUGCGUAGAGAUCGGGAGGAACAUCAGUGGCGAAGGCGGCCAUCUGGGACAACACUGACGCUGAGGCACGAAAGCGUGGGGAGCAAACAGGAUUAGAUACCCCCGUAGUCCCUGUCUCUUAUAC